UCCGGUGGCUAUAGCGAGGGGGUCACACCUGUUCCCAUACCGAACACAGAAGUAAAGUCCCUCAGCGCCGAUGGUACUGCAAGGUUUCCUUGUGGGAGAGUAGGUCGCCGCCGGAU
rnacentral:rRNA from 1 species